rnacentral:lncRNA from 1 species
UGCUAUCCACCUAAGAAGUCAUUUUGUUCGACAUUUGAAAUAUUAAGCAUCGAAAGAAAGGUAGGCGUAUGUGAGUGCAUUUGAGAGAUGUGACCAUAAGAUUGUGUUGCAAAAUUUUAUGAGCAAAUGUUAAGUAAUUGUGUUGGUACCCAAUAAUUUGAUUUUAUUUUUGGUACAAUAUAUUAUUUUUAUUCCAUUUUCACGACCUUAUCCUUGUGGCUAUAUACUCCAAGAUGAUUGUCACAAAUUAAAAUAAGUAAACAAAGAAUAUUGUUUAGAUUGUAUUUUUCUCUUUUAAUUUUGGAUAAAUC